rnacentral:SRP_RNA from 2 species
GCCAGGCAUGGCGGCUCAUGCCAGUAGUCCCAGCUACUCAAGAGGCUGAGGCAGGAGGAUCACUUGAGUCCAGGAGUUAGAGGCUGCAGUGAGCUAUAAUUGUACCACUGCACUCCAGCCUGGACAACAGAGUGAGACCCUGUCUCUA